CCUACGGGGGGCAGCAGUGGGGAAUAUUGGGCAAUGGAGGAAACUCUGACCCAGCAACGCCGCGUGAAGGAUGAAGGUUUUCGGAUUGUAAACUUCUGUCGCGAGGGAUGAAGAAUGACGGUACCUCGUAAGAAAGCCCCGGCAAACUACGUGCCAGCAGCCGCGGUAAUACGUAGGGGGCGAGCGUUGUCCGGAAUGACUGGGCGUAAAGGGAGUGUAGGCGGCAUAUUAAGUUAUGUGUGAAAGCCCGCGGCUCAACCGCGGAAUUGCACAUAAAACUGGUAAGCUGGAGUGCAGGAGAGGUA
rnacentral:rRNA from 1 species